CGGACGGGUGAGUAACGCGUGGGUAACCUACCCUGUACACACGGAUAACAUACCGAAAGGUAUGCUAAUACGGGAUAAUAUAUUUGAGAGGCAUCUCUUGAAUAUCAAAGGUGAGCCAGUACAGGAUGGACCCGCGUCUGAUUAGCUAGUUGGUAAGGUAACGGCUUAUCAAGGCGACGAUCAGUAGCCGACCUGAGAGGGUGAUCGGCCACAUUGGAACUGAGACACGGUCCAA
rnacentral:rRNA from 1 species